UUUUGGAAGAAUCGCAUUUUUGAAGCACGACAGUUUAGAAGCUCGACGUUUUUGAAGAUUGACGUUUCUUCAUCGUGAAGUUUUCUCGGAAUAUCUUCGUAUCAGUAAAAUAUUAUUCUGAAGACAUUAUAAGUCGAAAGCAGGACGGGAAUUAAGCAGGACGGGAAGCAAACACGACGGGAUUGAAGCACGACGGGAAAACCCGAAGUUGGGCGAAAACCCUAUUUUUGGUAUUAUCGAUUUUUCGAGGAAGCCGGAAGCUCGGGAAAUAUUUUCCAUCAAGGUCAGGAUUCACUUGGAGUUUAUUAAAAAUAUUCAUCUCAUCAGAACGGGCGUAGAAAAAUAUUCGGGAUUGAUCGCGGG
rnacentral:lncRNA from 1 species